rnacentral:tRNA from 1 species
GGGCCGGUAGUUCAGCCUGGAAGAACGACCGACUUGCACUCGGUAGGUCCGGGGUUCGAAUCCCCGCCGGUCCA